CAAGGGGGUCAUCCCGACUUACCAACCCGAUGCAAACUGCGAAUACCGGAGAAUGUUAUCACGGGAGACACACGGCGGGUGCUAACGUCCGUCGUGAAGAGGGAAACAACCCAGACCGCCAGCUAAGGUCCCAAAGUCAUGGUUAAGUGGGAAACGAUGUGGGAAGGCCCAGACAGCCAGGAUGUUGGCUUAGAAGCAGCCAUCAUUUAAAGAAAGCGUAAUAGCUCACUGGUCGAGUCGGCCUGCGCGGAAGAUGUAACGGGGCUAAACCAUGCACCGAAGCUGCGGCAGCGACGCUGAUGCGUUGUUGGGUAGGGGAGCGUUCUGUAAGCCUGUGAAGGUGUGCUGUGAGGCAUGCUGGAGGUAUCAGAAGUGCGAAUGCUGACAUAAGUAACGAUAAAGCGGGUGAAAAGCCCGCUCGCCGGAAGACCAAGGGUUCCUGUCCAACGUUAAUCGGGGCAGGGUGAGUCGACCCCUAAGGCGAGGCCGAAAGGCGUAGUCGAUGGGAAACAGGUUAAUAUUCCUGUACUUGGUGUUACUGCGAAGGGGGGACGGAGAAGGCUAUGUUGGCCGGGCGACGGUUGUCCCGGUUUAAGCGUGUAGGCUGGUUUUCCAGGCAAAUCCGGAAAAUCAAGGCUGAGGCGUGAUGACGAGGCACUACGGUGCUGAAGCAACAAAUGCCCUGCUUCCAGGAAAAGCCUCUAAGCAUCAGGUAACAUCAAAUCGUACCCCAAACCGACACAGGUGGUCAGGUAGAGAAUACCAAGGCGCUUGAGAGAACUCGGGUGAAGGAACUAGGCAAAAUGGUGCCGUAACUUCGGGAGAAGGCACGCUGAUAUGUAGGUGAAGUCCCUCGCGGAUGGAGCUGAAAUCAGUCGAAGAUACCAGCUGGCUGCAACUGUUUAUUAAAAACACAGCACUGUGCAAACACGAAAGUGGACGUAUACGGUGUGACGCCUGCCCGGUGCCGGAAGGUUAAUUGAUGGGGUUAGCGCAAGCGAAGCUCUUGAUCGAAGCCCCGGUAAACGGCGGCCGUAACUAUAACGGUCCUAAGGUAGCGAAAUUCCUUGUCGGGUAAGUUCCGACCUGCACGAAUGGCGUAAUGAUGGCCAGGCUGUCUCCACCCGAGACUCAGUGAAAUUGAACUCGCUGUGAAGAUGCAGUGUACCCGCGGCAAGACGGAAAGACCCCGUGAACCUUUACUAUAGCUUGACACUGAACAUUGAGCCUUGAUGUGUAGGAUAGGUGGGAGGCUUUGAAGUGUGGACGCCAGUCUGCAUGGAGCCGACCUUGAAAUACCACCCUUUAAUGUUUGAUGUUCUAACGUUGACCCGU
rnacentral:rRNA from 1 species